rnacentral:lncRNA from 1 species
CUUCACUACCUCUUCAUUACAAUUUACAAUACUUCAGUUUGACCGCUGCUUCCUCUUUUAUCUCUUACUUAUAGCGCUAAGAAUCCCGCUUUCUCUUUAAUCUCUCUGUCGCCCAAGAUAUCUUCACUUCCUUUCUAUGAUUGGUUUACUUUCGUGUUUCUGAUUUUGAGAUUUUGAGGCUUUCUUUCAUGAUUUGUUUUUCUUCCUUGUAUCUAUGAUUCAACCUAUUUUGCUUGAAGAGAGAGAGAGAGAGAGAGAGAGAGAGAGAGAGAAGAAGAAAAAAUCUAGGAGAGAAUCGAGUGUUAAUUGAAAAAAAGGGAGAAGAUAAAAUAAAUAGCGUAUUUCAUGC